CCCUUAGAUGUCCUGGGCCGCACGCGCGCUACACUGAUGCAUUCAACGAGUAAUUAUUCCUUGGCCGAGAGGCCUGGGUAAUCUUUUAAACGUGCAUCGUGAUAGGGAUAGAUUAUUGCAAUUAUUAAUCUUGAACGAGGAAUUCCUAGUAAACGCAGAUCAUCAAUCUGCAUUGAUUACGUCCCUGCCCUUUGUACACACCGCCCGUCGCUCCUACCGAUUGAGUGGUCCGGUGAGGCUUUGGGAUCUGAGCGGAAAGAGCGUUUCGCUGUUUCUGCUCGGAAAACUCAGUCGAACCUUAUCAUUUAGAGGAAGGAGAAGUCGUAACA
rnacentral:rRNA from 1 species